GACGAACGCUGGCGGCGUGCUUAACACAUGCAAGUCGAACGGUGAAGCGCCUUCCUUUUUGGUGGGUGUGGAUGAGUGGCGAACGGGUGAGUAACACGUGAGUAACCUGCCCCCUUCUUCUGGAUAACCGCAUGAAAGUGUGGCUAAUACGGGAUAUUCUGGGCCUGUCGCAUGAUGGGUCUGGGAAAGAUAUUGUUUCGGUGGGGGAUGGGCUCGCGGCCUAUCAGCUUGUUGGUGGGGUGAUGGCCUACCAAGGCGGUGACGGGUAGCCGGCCUGAGAGGGUGGACGGUCACACUGGGACUGAGACACGGCCCAGACUCCUACGGGAGGCAGCAGUGGGGAAUAUUGCACAAUGGGCGCAAGCCUGAUGCAGCGACGCCGCGUGAGGGAUGGAGGCCUUCGGGUUGUGAACCUCUUUCGCCAGUGAAGCAGGCCUGCCUCGUCUGUGGGUGGGUUGACGGUAGCUGGAUAAGAAGCGCCGGCUAACUACGUG
rnacentral:rRNA from 1 species